rnacentral:rRNA from 1 species
AAUUUUCAACAAUGGCGGAAAUCCUGGUCCAGCCAUCAUGCUUGUCGCAUGAAGGCGUUCGGGUUGAAAAGUACUUUUGGCAGAGAAGAAAAGGUAUCUCCUCAUACGAGAUACUGUUGACGGUAUUGUCAGAAUAAGCGCCGGCUAACUACGUGCCAGCAGCAGCGGUAAUACGUAGGGUGCAAGGGUUAAUAGAAAUUAAUGGGCGUAAAGCGUGUGUAGGUGGUUCGGAAAGAAAGAUAUGACAUCCCAGGGCUCGACCUUGGAACUGCAUUUCUAACUACCAUGCUAGAGUAUGACAGAGGGGGGUAGAAUUCAACGUGAAGCAUUAAAAUGCGUAGAUAUGUGGAGGAGUACCGAUGGCGAAGGCAGCCCCCUGGAAUAAUACUAACGCUCAGACACGAAAGCAUGGAGAGCAAACAG